GGAGAGAUGGCCGAGCGGUCGAAGGCGCACGCUUGGAAGGCGUGUGUAGCAGUAAUGUUACCGAGGGUUCGAAUCCCUCUCUCUCCGCCA
rnacentral:tRNA from 1 species